UACGUAGGCAGCGAGCGUUGUUCGGAGUUACUGGGCGUAAAGGGUGUGUAGGCGGUUGUUUAAGUUUGGUGUGAAAUCUCCCGGCUCAACUGGGAGGGUGCGCCGAAUACUGAGCGACUAGAGUGCGGGAGAGGAAAGUGGAAUUCCUGGUGUAGCGGUGAAGUGCGUAGAGAUCGGGAGGAACAUCAGUUGCGAAGGCGGCUCUCUGGACCAGCACUGACACUGAGGCACGAAAGCGUGGGGAGCAAACAGG
rnacentral:rRNA from 1 species